UGGGGAAUUUUGGACAAUGGGCGCAAGCCUGAUCCAGCCAUGCCGCGUGCGGGAAGAAGGCCUUCGGGUUGUAAACCGCUUUUGUCAGGGAAGAAAUCUUCUGAGUUAAUACCUCGGGAGGAUGACGGUACCUGAAGAAUAAGCACCGGCUAACUACGUGCCAGCAGCCGCGGUAGUACGUAGGGUGCAAGCGCUAAUCGGAAUUACUGGGCGUAAAGCGUGCGCAGGCGGUUUUGUAAGACAGAGGUGAAAUCCCCGGGCUCAACCUGGGAACUGCCUUUGUGACUGCAAGGCUUGAGUGCGGCAGAGGGGGAUGGAAUUCCGCGUGUAGCAGUGAAAUGCGUAGAUAUGCGGAGGAACACCGAUGGCGAAGGCAAUCCCCUGGGCCUGCACUGACGCUCAUGCACGAAAGCGUGGGGAGCAAACAGGAUUAGAUACCCUGGUAGUCCACGCCCUAAAACGAUGUCAACUGGUUGUUGGGAAGGUUCCUUCUCAGUAACGUAGCUAACGCGUGAAGUUGACCGCCUGGGGAGUACGGCCGCAAGGUUGAAACUCAAAUGAAUUGACGGGGU
rnacentral:rRNA from 1 species